UGCCACCAUAUGGUUACCUUGUCGU
rnacentral:misc_RNA from 1 species